rnacentral:lncRNA from 1 species
AACAGACAAGUGGCAGGGCCAGCUGUCCAGAGUGCUAUAUCCAAUGAGGGAUGGUGGCAGACCUGCACAGCCUCAGACACCCAGUGUUCCCUAGUGGUAAUAAUGAGCCAUGGACACUGACCCACCACUGUGGAUCCACAGACUCAAACAAGGCCCUGAUGGCAGGGAUGCCCACUUAUAACAGGCUACUUCUCUCCACCCUUGAAUUCCUUUUUCUCUCCCGUCUGUCAUGGUGACAAGCAGGUAUCUAUGCUUAUGCACUGGAGGGCAGGACUGUGGGUGGCAUGGAGGUCUACAAGACCUUGUGUUCCUCUUCUCAUGCCGUGCUGCCUUGCUUUAAUUUGAUUUUUAUGAGUCCUAGGCAUAAGACAAGGUUUGGCCAUCAAGCUAGGAUGAACAAAGGACUGCCAUCUGCUCUGCCCCUGAUAAAGAACAAUACCACCAAUAAGGGGUCUCUGCUGGUUGCUGGGGUUGUAACCUACUUCUAAUAUGGGGCUUAAAAUUAAAUGUGAAAAGUGGUAUACUAUAUACAUUGGAUCAAGUCUAUAUAGUAGCUAAAAUUAAGCAUUCCAAAGUAAUGUCUAAUUUAUCAAUCAAUGAAAGUUUGAAGUGAAACUUGGCUGCAACCAGUCUUUGGCGUAGCACUUGUAUCAUGAACCUGUCUAAGAUCUCUUCUCAUGAUUCAUCUGUGAGUAGCUCCAUAGUGAAGGGCAAUUAGUAAAGGCUAAAGACUUACCCCUUUAUUUGUCCUUCUAUUUGGGGUUCUGUUGUCUGAAAUUUGAAGGAAUACGACCAGUGGGCUCAAAUGAGCACCACUCUUAGAAGUUGUGUGCCCAUUCCCUUAACACAGGUAGAUCUGUCUUACCCGUUUCCUGGGUGGGACCUUAGGAAUCCAGUGCCCUGAGACUAUGUCUUUAUUAUUUAUGCCUAGUAUCUCAGUCUUCCCACACUGGCAAAGAGUAUAGCAACUGGUGGUUAGUGAUAAUUGACAAGGUUCUGUCCAGGCUGCUUUUUUGAGGUCUUUGUUUUAGUAAGCUAUGAAUGGAGCUGUCUCUUGCAUGAUGAAUAAACACUCUACCAUUGUCUCCACUGCCCCUAGCUGUAGUACUGGCUGAUAGGAUUAUGGUGGAAAUUGUGUUAUUGGUAAUCUUUGAGCCUUGAGAGAGGUAGAAAUUGUUCAGAAACUGUGUCCUCUGGUUUCUAAAUCUAUUCCCCACGUGCCUCCAAUUUUCUUGUGCUGUGCAUUUUAAAUUAAUCAUGUUUUUUCUUAAUUAAAUACUCUUUCACAGCAAUGAUUUCCAACUCUGGCUGACGUAAGAAUUGCUGGGGAAGUUUGAAGGGGGGAAAAAGAAAGCUCUGGGGUGGAGUCCAGGCUUUGAUAGUUUUUUUUGUUUGUUUGUUUGUUUGUUUUUUUUUUUUGAGGAAACCUAUUGAUAUAUGUAUUUGAUUGACUCUAAAAAGUUGUUGUAUUGGAACAUGAAGAAAACAUUUAAAUAAAACAAGAUUCUGAAACAAGC